rnacentral:rRNA from 1 species
UACGUAGGGUGCGAGCGUUUGUCCGGAAUUACUGGGCGUAAAGAGCUCGUAGGUGGUUUGUCGCGUUGUUCGUGAAAUCUCACGGCUUAACUGUGAGCGUGCGGGCGAUACGGGCAGACUAGAGUACUGCAGGGGAGACUGGAAUUCCUGGUGUAGCGGUGGAAUGCGCAGAUAUCAGGAGGAACACCGGUGGCGAAGGCGGGUCUCUGGGCAGUAACUGACACUGGAGGAGCGAAAGCGUGGGAGCGAACAGG